AUUGAACGCUGGCGGCAGGCCUAACACAUGCAAGUCGAGCGGAUGAAGGGAGCUUGCUCCUGGAUUCAGCGGCGGACGGGUGAGUAAUGCCUAGGAAUCUGCCUGGUAGUGGGGGAUAACGUCCGGAAACGGGCGCUAAUACCGCAUACGUCCUGAGGGAGAAAGUGGGGGAUCUUCGGACCUCGCGCUAUCAGAUGAGCCUAGGUCGGAUUAGCUAGUUGGUGGGGUAAAGGCCUACCAAGGCGACGAUCCGUAACUGGUCUGAGAGGAUGAUCAGUCACACUGGAACUGAGACACGGUCCAGACUCCUACGGGAGGCAGCAGUGGGGAAUAUUGGACAAUGGGCGAAAGCCUGAUCCAGCCAUGCCGCGUGUGUGAAGAAGGUCUUCGGAUUGUAAAGCACUUUAAGUUGGGAGGAAGGGCAGUAAGUUAAUACCUUGCUGUUUUGACGUUACCAACAGAAUAAGCGCCGGCUAACUUCGUG
rnacentral:rRNA from 1 species